rnacentral:rRNA from 1 species
UCCUACGGGACGCAGCAGUAGGGAAUCUUCCACAAUGGGCGCAAGCCUGAUGGAGCAACACCGCGUGAGUGAAGAAGGGUUUCGGCUCGUAAAGCUCUGUUGUUGGAGAAGAACGUGCGUGAGAGUAACUGUUCACGCAGUGACGGUAUCCAACCAGAAAGUCACGGCUAACUACGUGCCAGCAGCCGCGGUAAUACGUAGGUGGCAAGCGUUGUUCGGAAUAACUGGGCGUAAAGGAAGCGUAGGCGGUUAAAAAAGUU